rnacentral:rRNA from 1 species
UACGUAGGGGGCAAGCGUUGUCCGGAUUUAUUGGGCGUAAAGAGCGUGUAGGCGGCCAGGUAGGUCUGCUGUGAAAACUCGAGGCUUAACCUCGAGAUGUCGGCGGAAACCAUCUGGCUAGAGUCCGGAAGAGGAGAGUGGAAUUCCUGGUGUAGCGGUGAAAUGCGCAGAUAUCAGGAAGAACACCCGUGGCGAAGGCGGCU